rnacentral:sRNA from 1 species
AUUUACCCGAGUCUGCGUUAGGGAUAGAAGCGAUAUCCUUUUUGUUUUUUCUUUAAAAACAAAAAGAUAUAGCGGAUAGCCCGUUCGCCG